GUCGAGGAUCUUCGGCAAUGGGCGCAAGCCUGACCGAGCGACGCCGCGUGUGCGAUGAAGGCCUUCGGGUUGUAAAGCACUGUCGAGGGGGAGGAAAGCCCGCAAGGGUCUGACCUAUCCCUGGAGGAAGCACGGGCUAAGUUCGUGCCAGCAGCCGCGGUAAGACGAACCGUGCAAACGUUGUUCGGAAUCACUGGGCUUAAAGGGCGCGUAGGCGGGUUCUCAAGUCAGGGGUGAAAUCUUUCAGCUUAACUGGAAAACGGCCCCUGAUACUGGGAGUCUCGAGGGAGAUAGGGGCAUGUGGAACUUCCGGUGGAGCGGUGAAAUGCGUAGAUAUCGGAAGGAACGCCGGUGGCGAAAGCGACGUGCUGGAUCUCUACUGACGCUGAGGCGCGAAAGCCAGGGGAGCAAACGGGAUUAGAUACCCCAGUAGUCC
rnacentral:rRNA from 1 species